rnacentral:rRNA from 1 species
UCCCGACAGUUCAAGUCGCAACCAACAUUAUUGGGUCUAAAACAUCCGUAGCUUGCUUGAUAAGUCUCUUGUGAAAUCCUGCAUCUCAAGUGUAGGGCGCGCAAGAGGUACUAUUGAGCUAGAGACCGGUAGGUGUAAGAAGUACGCUCAAGGUAGUAGUAAAAUACGUUAAUCUUGAGUGGACUCACAAUUAGCGAAGGCAUCUUACAAGAACGGAUCUGACAGUGAGGGAUGAAGGCCAAGGGCGCAAAAG